GUUGGACGUCUUCUUCCUGUUUCUUCCUGUUUCUGGGACCUCACUGAUGCCAAACUGGACCCUCUCCCUGGUUCUGACAGGGAUCCUGAGUUCUGCUGCUCUGGAACCUCUGGAUGGUGGAGCAAGACCAGAACCCUGGUCCUGAUCAGCCGGGACCCGUCCCCAUUCUCUCCAGAUGUUGGCCCGUCUGCUUGGACUUCUGCUUGGGGUUAGAACGUCUCUGCCAGUCCAGGAGCAGGUGGAGCAUGGCUGUGUUAGAGGCCUUCAUCAUUCUCUGAGUUGGAGACGUCCAGAAAUACAUGAAUUACUGCUGCAGGCUCUGCUGGCAGGAAAUCUGUCAAAAAUUAAAUUAUUAUUA